rnacentral:rRNA from 1 species
AGAUUGAACGCUGGCGGCAGGCCUAACACAUGCAAGUCGAGCGGCAGCACGGGUACUUGUACCUGGUGGCGAGCGGCGGACGGGUGAGUAAUGCCUAGGAAUCUGCCUGGUAGUGGGGGAUAACGCUCGGAAACGGACGCUAAUACCGCAUACGUCCUACGGGAGAAAGCAGGGGACCUUCGGGCCUUGCGCUAUCAGAUGAGCCUAGGUCGGAUUAGCCAGUUGGUGAGGUAAUGGCUCACCAAGGCGACGAUCCGUAACUGGUCUGGAGAGGAUGGAUCAGUCACACUGGAACUGAGACACGGUCCAGACUCCUACGGGAGCAGCAGUGGGGAAUAUUGGACAA